UACGAAGGGGGCUAGCGUUGUUCGGAAUCACUGGGCGUAAAGCGCACGCAGGCGGAUUGAUAAGUCAGGGGUGAAAUCCCGGGGCUCAACCUCGGAAUUGCCUUUGAUACUGUCUGUCUUGAGUUCGGGAGAGGUUGGCGGAAUUCCUAGUGUAGAGGUGAAAUUCGUAGAUAUUAGGAAGAACACCGGUGGCGAAGGCGGCCAUCUGGACCGGCACUGACGCUGAGGCGCGAAAGCGUGGGGAGCAAACAGG
rnacentral:rRNA from 1 species